rnacentral:misc_RNA from 1 species
ACCUGAUGAUAUAUAUCAAAUAUAGAAAUGUAGCCUGAGUAGUUAAGCAAGCAUCUUUCAUGAAAGAAUUCAGGUUUUCUUACUAUUAUUUCUAUAUAAGGGACUCCAACAGCAGAGAGGAAAGAAAAUGACAAUGAGUGAAUUCAGCUUCAGGAAGGAAAUGAUGAGCUUUGGCUUGCAAAUACUUGCCGGUCGAUGGUUUUCGGUGUUUGCUUCACUCCUGAUUAUGUCUGUAAAUGGCACCAGUUAUAUGUAUGGUCUAUAUUCCGGCGAGAUCAAAUCGUCUUUAGGCUAUGAUCAAACUACGCUUAAUACUCUGAGCUUCUUCAAGGAUUUGGGAGGCAAUCUUGGUAUUUCAGCAGGUCUUGCCUAUGAAAUAAUGCCGCCUUGGGUGGUUCUUGUCAUUGGUGCAGUCAUGAACUUUUCUGCAUAUUUCUUGAUAUGGAUAGCAGUUACUGGCCGCAUAGCCAAACCCCAUGUCUGGCAAAUGUGCCUGUAUAUGUGCCUUGCCACAAAUUCAGCAUCCUAUCCCAAUACUGCAGCUCUAGUCACAUGUGUCAGGAAUUUCCCUGAAAGCAGAGGCAGUGUAAUAGGCCUCCUGAAGGGGCUUAUCGGCCUAAGUGGUGCAAUUCUGACACAAAUUUACCACGCUUUCUAUGGUAACGACUCCAAGGCUCUUAUCUUGCUAAUUGCUUGGUUUCCAGCCAUUGUUCCGCUGGUUUUUCUCCGAACAAUUCGGAUCAAGAAGAUUGUUCGACAAGUGAAGGAGGUUCAAGUUUUCUAUAAUUUCCUCUAUAUUGCACUUGGCCUCGCUGGGUUUGUAAUGAUCAUCAUUAUCAUACAGAACAAGCUCACGUUUACUAGACCUGAGUACAUUGGAAGUGCUUCAAUUGUCAUCCUGCUACUUUUUCUCCCACUUGCAAUUGUUAUUAGAGAAGAAUUCAAUCUCUGGCAAAGCAAGAAACAAGCUCUGAACAACCACUCUCAAUUGAAUGCUGCAGCUGAAAAUCCACCGGUUCUGCAUCCACCACAACCUCCAGAAGCAAAACUGGAGCCACUCUCUUGCUUUAAGAACAUUUUUAGGCAACCAGAUAGAGGUGAGGACUACACUAUACUGCAAGCAAUUUUCAGUAUUGACAUGCUAAUUUUAUUCAUUUCAACAACUUGUGGCGUUGGUGGGGCAUUAGCAGCCAUCGACAAUUUGGGUCAAAUUGCUGAUUCAUUAGGCUACCUAUCUCAUAACAUAGCCACUUUUAUAUCCCUGGUCAGCAUAUGGAACUUCCUUGGAAGAGUCCUAGCAGGUUUUGCCUCAGAAAUAGUCUUGACAAAGUACAAGUUCCCUCGUCCCCUAAUGCUAACAUUUGUGAUCCUCUUCUCUUGUGUUGGGCAUAUUUUAAUUGCUUUUGGGGUGCCUAAUUCUCUUUAUUUCUCAUCAAUCAUUCUUGGGUUCUGCCUUGGAGCACAAUUGCCAUUAGUUUCUGCCACAAUAUCAGAAAUCUUUGGGCUUAAACACUUCUCCAUUUUGUAUAGUGUUGGAUCUGUAUCAAGCCCAGUUGGGUCCUAUAUUUUCAAUGUGAAAGUGGCUGGUGAUUUAUAUGACAAGGAGGCCUUGAAACAAAUGGAAGCCUUAGGCAUUAAAAGAGAAACAGGGAAGGAGUUGAAUUGUGAUGGGGUCCAUUGCUUUAGGCUGGCUUUUGUUGUGAUUGCCGUGGCAACUUUUGUGGGGUUUCUUGUUUCAAUUAUUUUGGUGCAUAGGACAAGAAUAUUCUACAAAAGUGAUAUUUACAAGAAGUUUAGGGAGGAGGAAGUAAUAGAGGUAGUGGAGAUUGAUACAGUAUCUAGAAGAACAGGAGUCAUUCAAUUGGAAGAAGCUGCAGGAGCCAAGGAUACUGUGGCUGCUGCCACUGUUUCCACUGCCAUAAAUCACAACCAAAGUAAAAUAAGUUAGAGAAUUUCAUCAUUAAAAGAUUGAUUAUAUUUAGAUGGGAAAGGUGAUUUGUGGUUAAUUACAUUUUUAAUUUGUUGAUAGUAGGAUCCAGUAUAUGGAUUGUAUCUCAAAUUUGUAAAUUCAAAUUCCUAUUUAUUGUAGACUCAGA